rnacentral:tRNA from 1 species
GAGGGUAUAGCUUAGUGGUAGAGCACAUGCUUAGCAUGCACAAGGUCCUGGGUUCAAUCCCCAGUACCUCCA